UNUGGCUCAGGACGAACGCUGGCGGCGUGCCUAAUACAUGCAAGUCGAGCGGACAGAUGGGAGCUUGCUCCCUGAUGUUAGCGGCGGACGGGUGAGUAACACGUGGGUAACCUGCCUGUAAGACUGGGAUAACUCCGGGAAACCGGGGCUAAUACCGGAUGGUUGUUUGAACCGCAUGGUUCAGACAUAAAAGGUGGCUUCGGCUACCACUUACAGAUGGACCCGCGGCGCAUUAGCUAGUUGGUGAGGUAACGGCUCACCAAGGCGACGAUGCGUAGCCGACCUGAGAGGGUGAUCGGCCACACUGGGACUGAGACACGGCCCAGACUCCUACGGGAGGCAGCAGUAGGGAAUCUUCCGCAAUGGACGAAAGUCUGACGGAGCAACGCCGCGUGAGUGAUGAAGGUUUUCGGAUCGUAAAGCUCUGUUGUUAGGGAAGAACAAGUGCCGUUCAAAUAGGGCGGCACCUUGACGGUACCUAACCAGAAAGCCACGGCUAACUACGUGCCAGCAGCCGCGGUAAUACGUAGGUGGCAAGCGUUGUCCGGAAUUAUUGGGCGUAAAGGGCUCGCAGGCGGUUUCUUAAGUCUGAUGUGAAAGCCCCCGGCUCAACCGGGGAGGGUCAUUGGAAACUGGGGAACUUGAGUGCAGAAGAGGAGAGUGGAAUUCCACGUGUAGCGGUGAAAUGCGUAGAGAUGUGGAGGAACACCAGUGGCGAAGGCGACUCUCUGGUCUGUAACUGACGCUGAGA
rnacentral:rRNA from 1 species